GACGAACGCUGGCGGCGUGCUUAACACAUGCAAGUCGAGCGAUGAAAUCCCUUCGGGGAUGGAUUAGCGGCGGACGGGUGAGUAACACGUGGGCAACCUGCCUCAAAGUGGGGGAUAGCCUUCCGAAAGGGAGAUUAAUACCGCAUAACAUUAGUUUUUUACAUGAAUUACUAAUUAAAGGAGUAAUCCGCUUUGAGAUGGGCCCGCGGCGCAUUAGCUAGUUGGUGAGGUAACGGCUCACCAAGGCCACGAUGCGUAGCCGACCUGAGAGGGUGAUCGGCCACAUUGGAACUGAGACACGGUCCAGACUCCUACGGGAGGCAGCAGUGGGGAAUAUUGCACAAUGGGCGAAAGCCUGAUGCAGCAACGCCGCGUGAGUGAUGAAGGCCUUCGGGUUGUAAAGCUCUGUCUUUGGGGACGAUAAUGACGGUACCCAAGGAGGAAGCCACGGCUAACUACGUGCCAGCAGCCGCCGUAA
rnacentral:rRNA from 1 species